rnacentral:rRNA from 1 species
UGGGGAAUAUUGCACAAUGGGCGCAAGCCUGAUGCGGCCAUGCCGCGUGUAUGAAGAAGGCCUUCGGGUUGUAAAGUACUUUCAGCGAGGAGGAAGGCGUUGUGGUUAAUAACCGCAACGAUUGACGUUACUCGCAGAAGAAGCACCGGCUAACUCCGUGCCAGCAGCCGCGGUAAUACGGAGGGUGCAAGCGUUAAUCGGAAUUACUGGGCGUAAAGCGCACGCAGGCGGUCUGUCAAGUCGGAUGUGAAAUCCCCGGGCUCAACCUGGGAACUGCAUCCGAAACUGGCAGGCUAGAGUCUUGUAGAGGGGGGUAGAAUUCCAGGUGUAGCGGUGAAAUGCGUAGAGAUCUGGAGGAAUACCGGUGGCGAAGGCGGCCCCCUGGACAAAGACUGACGCUCAGGUGCGAAAGCGUGGGGAGCAAACA